rnacentral:rRNA from 1 species
UUUAUUGGAGAGUUUGAUCCUGGCUCAGGACGAACGCUGGCGGCAUGCCUAAUACAUGCAAGUCGAGCGGACU